AUUAACUAAUUAGCGCCAGGACUCAUUGAGUUGACGAGGACUGAAUCGAUCGAAAGACUCGGCGGAUGAUUCAGAGGUACCAUGCUACCUGAACCAUGAACAAAAACGACAAGCAAUUGUCCAACAAAUUCAUGCGGCAUGUUU
rnacentral:ncRNA from 2 species